ACAAAGGUUCUUUUCAGAGCCACCCAAGCUAAAAAGGGCUUAAAAU
rfam:Helobdella robusta unplaced genomic scaffold HELROscaffold_2, whole genome shotgun sequence.